rnacentral:rRNA from 1 species
GACGAACGCUGGCGGCGUGCCUAAUACAUGCAAGUAGAACGCUGAAGAGAGGAGCUUGCUCUUCUUGGAUGAGUUGCGAACGGGUGAGUAACGCGUAGGUAACCUGCCUUGUAGCGGGGGAUAACUAUUGGAAACGAUAGCUAAUACCGCAUAACAAUGGAUGACACAUGUCAUUUAUUUGAAAGGGGCAAUUGCUCCACUACAAGAUGGACCUGCGUUGUAUUAGCUAGUAGGUGAGGUAAUGGCUCACCUAGGCGACGAUACAUAGCCGACCUGAGAGGGUGAUCGGCCACACUGGGACUGAGACACGGCCCAGACUCCUACGGGAGGCAGCAGUAGGGAAUCUUCGGCAAUGGGGGCAACCCUGACCGAGCAACGCCGCGUGAGUGAAGAAGGUUGUCGGAUCGUAAAGCUCGGUUGUAAGUCAAGAACGGGUGUGAGAGUGGAAAGUUCACACUGUGACGGUAGCUUACCAGAAAGGGACGGCUAACUACGUG